rnacentral:rRNA from 1 species
CCUACGGGUGGCAGCAGUGAGGAAUAUUGGUCAAUGGACGAGAGUCUGAACCAGCCAAGUAGCGUGAAGGAUGACUGCCCUAUGGGUUGUAAACUUCUUUUAUAUGGGAAUAAAAUGUUCCACGUGUGCGUUUUUGUAUGUACUAUAUGACUAAGGAUCGGCUAACUCCGUGCCAGCAGCCGCGGUAAUACGGAGGAUCCGAGCGUUAUCCGGAUUUAUUGGGUUUAAAGGGAGCGUAGGUGGAUUGUUAAGUCAGUUGUGAAAGUUUGCGGCUCAACCGUAAAAUUGCAGUUGAUACUGGCAGUCUUGAGUACAGUAGAGGUGAGCGGAAUUCGUGGUGUAGCGGUGAAAUGCUUAGAUAUCACGAAGAACUCCGAUUGCGAAGGCAGCUCACUAGACUGCAACUGACACUGAGGCUCGAAAGUGUGGGUAUCAAACAGGAUUAGAUACCCUAGUAGUC